ACGAACGCUGGCGGCGUGCUUAACACAUGCAAGUCGAACGGAAAGGCCCUGCUUUUGUGGGGUGCUCGAGUGGCGAACGGGUGAGUAACACGUGAGUAACCUGCCCUCGACUUUGGGAUAACUUCAGGAAACUGGGGCUAAUACCGGAUAGGAGCUCCUGCUGCAUGGUGGGGGUUGGAAAGUUUCGGCGGUUGGGGAUGGACUCGCGGCUUAUCAGCUUGUUGGUGGGGUAGUGGCUUACCAAGGCUUUGACGGGUAGCCGGCCUGAGAGGGUGACCGGCCACAUUGGGACUGAGAUACGGCCCAGACUCCUACGGGAGGCAGCAGUGGGGAAUAUUGCACAAUGGGCGGAAGCCUGAUGCAGCAACGCCGCGUGCGGGAUGACGGCCUUCGGGUUGUAAACCGCUUUCGCCUGUGACGAAGCGUGAGUGACGGUAAUGGGUAAAGAAGCACCGGCUAACUACGUG
rnacentral:rRNA from 1 species